rnacentral:rRNA from 1 species
GAUGAACGCUGGCGGCGUGCCUAAUACAUGCAAGUCGAGCGAACGGACGAGAAGCUUGCUUCUCUGAUGUUAGCGGCGGACGGGUGAGUAACACGUGGAUAACCUACCUAUAAGACUGGGAUAACUUCGGGAAACCGGAGCUAAUACCGGAUAAUAUUUUGAACCGCAUGGUUCAAAAGUGAAAGACGGUCUUGCUGUCACUUAUAGAUGGAUCCGCGCUGCAUUAGCUAUUUGGUAAGGUAACGGCUUACCAAGGCCACGCUGCAUAGCCGACCUGAGAGGGUGAUCGGCCAAACUGGAACUGAGACACGGUCCAGACUCCUAGGGGAGGCAGCAGUAGGGAAUCUUCCGCAAUGGGCGAAAGCCUGACGGAGCAACGCCGCGUGAGUGAUGAAGGUCUUCGGAUCGUAAAACUCUGUUAUAGGGAAGAACAUAUGUGUAAGUAACUGUGCACAUCUUGACGGUACCUAAUCAGAAAGCCACGGCUAACUACGUG